rnacentral:rRNA from 1 species
GGUGUGACCUGCCCAGUGAGGUUUGAUCUUUAACGGCCGCAGUACUUUGACUGUGCUAAGGUAGCAAAAUCAAUAGGCCUUUAAUUGAGGUCGAGUAUGAAUGGUUUUACUGGAUUUAAGCUGUCUCCACUAUUAAUAUAUAACUUACUUUAUUAGGUGAAAAUACCUAUUGAUUAACAAUAGACGAGAAGACCCUUAGAGUUUUAAUUAAUAGACUUUAGAAAGUUUUUUACAUUUUUGUUGGGGCGACAAUGUAUCCAUAUAACGUACUUAUAUACAUUUACAACUCUCAAGAAUUGAGGAAUGAAUAUAACUACCUGAGGGAUAACAGCAUAAUUUUAAUAUAAGAUUGUGACCUCGAUGUUGGACUAGGGACUAAUUGUAGCAGCUCUACA